AUUGAACGCUGGCGGCAGGCCUAACACAUGCAAGUCGAGCGGAUGAAGGGAGCUUGCUCCUGGAUUCAGCGGCGGACGGGUGAGUAAUGCCUAGGAAUCUGCCUGGUAGUGGGGGAUAACGUCCGGAAACGGGCGCUAAUACCGCAUACGUCCUGAGGGAGAAGGUGGGGGAUCUUCGGACCUCACGCUAUCAGAUGAGCCUAGGUCGGAUUAGCUAGUUGGUGGGGUAAAGGCCUACCAAGGCGACGAUCCGUAACUGGUCUGAGAGGAUGAUCAGUCACACUGGAACUGAGACACGGUCCAGACUCCUACGGGAGGCAGCAGUGGGGAAUAUUGGACAAUGGGCGAAAGCCUGAUCCAGCCAUGCCGCGUGUGUGAAGAAGGUCUUCGGAUUGUAAAGCACUUUAAGUUGGGAGGAAGGGCAGUAAGUUAAUACCUUGCUGUUUUGACGUUACCAACAGAAUAAGCACCGGCUAACUCCGUG
rnacentral:rRNA from 1 species